rnacentral:rRNA from 1 species
ACGGUCCUAAGGUAGCGAAAUUCCUUGUCGGGUAAGUUCCGACCUGCACGAAUGGCGUAACGAUGGCCACACUGUCUCCACCCGAGACUCAGCGAAAUUGAACUCGCUGUGACGAUGCAGUGUACCCGCGGCUAGACGGAAAGACCCCAUGAACCUUUACUAUAGCUUUACACUGGACUUUGAAUAUAUCUGUGUAGGAUAGCUGGGAGGCUUUGAAGCGGCGACGCCAGUCGUCGUGGAGCCACACUUGAAAUACCAGCCUGGUCUGUUUGAGGUUCUAACCCAGGUCCGUAAUCCGGAUCGGGGACAGUGUAUGGUGGGUAGUUUGACUGGGGCGGUCUCCUCCCAAAGAGUAACGGAGGAGCGCGAAGGUACCCUCAGCACGGUCGGAAAUCGUGCAUUGAGCGCAAAGGUAUAAGGGUGCUUGACUGCGAGACUGACACGUCGAGCAGGAACGAAAGUUGGUCUUAGUGAUCCGGUGGUUCUGUAUGGAAGGGCCAUCGCUCAACGGAUAAAAGGUACUCUGGGGAUAACAGGCUGAUACCACCCAAGAGUUCAUAUCGACGGUGGUGUUUGGCACCUCGAUGUCGGCUCAUCUCAUCCUGGGGCUGAAGCAGGUCCCAAGGGUAUGGCUGUUCGCCAUUUAAAGAGGUACGCGAGCUGGGUUUAGAACGUCGUGAGACAGUUCGGUCCCUAUCUGCCGUGGGCGUUGGAGAUUUGAGAGGAGCUGCUCCUAGUACGAGAGGACCGGAGUGGACGUACCUCUGGUGUUCCGGUUGUCAUGCCAAUGGCACUGCCGGGUAGCUAUGUACGGACGGGAUAACCGCUGAAAGCAUCUAAGCGGGAAGCUCACCUCAAGAUGAGAUCUCCCUGGGAAUUCGAUUCCCCUGAAGGGCCGUCGAAGACUACGACGUUGAUAGGCUGGGUGUGGAAGCGCAGUAAUGUGUGAAGCUAACCAGUACUAAUUGCCCGUGAGGCUUGACCAUAUAACACUCAAAGAGUU